GGAGCUUUGGACCAUGGGAGUUGGGAAGGUGAUCUGGCUCAGGGCCAUUUUUCUUACAAGGGUCAAAGAUUUCUACCCUGUUGGAAGAAGCCACUGUUGAAGUGUGAAAGGCUACUCUGCUUUCUGCGUCCAUUUAACCUUUGGCCUGCCCUAAAGAGCCAGCCAAGUGUCAAUCAGGGCUGAUUGGGCACCUGUGCCUGGAAACAAGACAGAGAAAUUUAGCUCUUCCAGGUCAUCAAACCAUCUCCAGAUGGCAAAGAACUUCUGAAGUUAUGAACCUAACUUGCUUGUGAUGCAAAUUAGUGACCUAGGGUGAGAUGCUUCAUUAAUGCUUACUCCUGUGAGCCUCCAAGGUGUCAGAAGUUGGACUGCUUACUCUCACAUUUUUUUUUUGCUGUGUAAUGUGCAUUAAAAUAAUUUAUAUUCAUAGAGAUGGUCCAAUAAAUUGCAUAUGGCUAGUUAAUAAGCUGCUAAAGCAGAGAAGAAAAUUAGAUUUCAUUUAGAAGAAAACAAUAUUUGGCUUUCCCCAUGGAAAUAUGUGAAAAAGCUUUAGAAAAUUCUGUUAACAUUGAG
rnacentral:lncRNA from 1 species